AAGACAGGUCGGAGCAGAUGGAGGCUCGUGGUAUUUCUCACCCUCACCGACUUCCUUCCUUGUGCCCAG
rnacentral:miRNA from 1 species